rnacentral:rRNA from 1 species
UACAUGCCUCGAAGCCUCGACCUUUUGGGAAGGGCGCACUUAUUAGAUCAAAAUCAACCGGAUUUCGGUCCGAGAUUUUGGUGACUCUGGAUAAUCUUCUACAGAUCGUACGGCCUUUGUGUCGACGACAGAUCUUUCAAAUGUCUGCCCUAUCAACUUAAGAUGGUAGGUAAUUUGCCUACCAUGGUGAUAACGGGUAACGGGGAAUCAGGGUUCGAUUCCGGAGAGGGAGCCUGAGAAAUAGCUACCACAUCCAAGGAAGGCAGCAGGCGCGCAAAUUACCCACUCCCAGAUCUGGGAGGUAGUGACGAAAAAUAACGAUACGGGACUCUUUCGAGGCCCCGUAAUCGGAAUGAGUACACUUUAAAUCCUUUAACGAGGAACAAUUGGAGGGCAAGUCUGGUGCCAGCAGCCGCGGUAAUUCCAGCUCCAAUAGCGUAUAUUAAAGUUGUUGCAGUUAAAAAGCUCGUAGUUGGAUCUUAGGUUAAGAAUGAAAGGUCCGCCUUUUGGUGCGACUUUUUGUUCAACCUACACCGUCGUGGAUACCUUGAGUGCUCUUUACUGAGUGCCCUUGGUGCCCGGCAAUGUUACUUUGAAAAAAUUAGAGUGCUUAAAGCAGGCUUUUGCCUGAAUAAUGUUGCAUGGAAUAAUGGAAUAGGACUUCGGUUCUAUUUUGUUGGUUUUCGGAAUUGAAGUAAUGAUUAACAGAGACUGCCGGGGGCAUUUGUAUGGCGGGGUUAGAGGUGAAAUUCUUGGAUCCUCGCCAGACAACCUACUGCGAAAGCAUUUGCCAAGAAUGUUUUCACUAAUCAAGAACGAAAGUCAGAGGUUCGAAGACGAUCAGAUACCGUCCUAGUUCUGACCAUAAACAAUGCCAACUAACGAUCCGAGGCGGUUGCUUGAUCGACCACUCGGGCAGCCCCGGAGAAAUCAAAGUUUUUGGGCUCCGGGGGUAGUAUGGUUGCAAGACUGAAACUUAAAGGAAUUGACGGAAGGGCACCACCAGGAGUGGAGCCUGCGGCUUAAUUUGACUCAACACGGGAAAACUCACCCGGCCCGGACACUGUAAGGAUUGACAGAUUAAUAGCUCUUUCUAGAUUUUGUGGGUGGUGGUGCAUGGCCGUUCUUAGUUGGUGGAGUGAUUUGUCUGGCUUAUCCCGAUAACGAGCGAGACGGUCGUUUACUAAGUAGACGGCUGUGCUUGCCACAGCCGACCUUCUUAGAGAGAUCUAUGCCUUUUAGACAUAUGACAGAUAGCAAUAACAGGUCUGUGAUGCCCUUAGAUGUCCGGGGCCGCACGCGCGCUACACUGACUGUCUCAACAAGUAUGUUCCUGGCCCGUUAGGGUUGGGCAACCUAUUUAAAGACAGACGUGACAGGGAUUGAAAUUUGUAAUUAUCUUUCAUGAACGAGGAAUUCCCAGUAAGCGCAAGUCAUAAGCUUGCGUUGAUUACGUCCCUGCCCUUUGUACACACCGCCCGUCGCUACUACUGAUGAACGGAUUAGU